CAGGUUGGAAAAAGAAACAUGAAGAGUGUCUGCUAUUGCCAUUCAUUGCUGCGAUCCCUCAGGGUUCUGGAAUUGUUUGCUUCCUGAAGAGCGUGCUGCUUACUGACGCAGGCCGUCCAGAUGCCCAAGGGGAGUGUCUCCGGGUUGCAGAUGUGCUCUAAGCACCUUCCCUGGAAAUCACAGAACUUCAGACCCCCUAAGGAAGGCGAAAAGCUCCCUGAGGAAUCGUGGUGGGGUUCUGGAGACCUGAAGGCCUGCGGCCACAGGCAGUGCUGCUUAGGUGAACUCUCCUCGCAGGAGCUGAAGGCCCGGACUCCAUGGUCUUCUGGGCCUUUCCUCACAGGAGUGGUUGGGUAUGCAAAUCUAUGUAACAGCAGACUAUACACCGGAGCCCAGAGCGAACCAGCGGACAUCUGAGACUGCCGGGGCGAGCCCUAGAAGGGGAUGAUCACCGCGGCGGUGGAUAGUGAUUUGGAAAGCUGACUCAGGUCACGGAGGAUGCGGGCUUGGCCCUGAGCGCCUGAUCCAGGCCUCCAAAAGACAACUGGGCCACCCUGGUCUCCGGGAUGGAGAAGUACUGCGGGGUUACUCAGAGGGACACCCACCGGCCGCUGUCCUUGGCUCACCCUGGUUCACCCGCCGGAGCGCCGCGCGCACGCUCAGGAACACCUCAUUUGAAGGCAGGCUCGGGGGCCCCGCAUCUUGCCAGGCGUGCCCUCAGCGCCCCCAAACAUCGGUUACUUCCCGCCAAACAAGAUCCAGUCGGCGGUGAUUUUUCACUUUUUCCCAAAGAGUCACCGCGGGGUCCCUUACACGGCCAGCACCCCCCCCCCCGCAUCCGUGCCUCUGUCUGUCCACCCCCUCCCCCCGCAUCCGUGUCUCUGUCUGUCCCUGCAUCUAUGCAUCCGUGCAUCUGUGCAUCCUUGCAUCCGUGCAUCUGUGCAUCCUUGCAUCUGCGCAUCCGUGCGUCCAUGCAUUCGAAACACGACCUGAUUUACAGGAGUUGGGCCCCGGGCUCCGCAGGGACCGCCCCCCCUUCCCAGUGACCCAGCCCCGGGGAUGCAGGGGCCUUCGGAGAGGCUGGGGUCCCCGAGGGCCACAGCCCGCUGCGCUGACUGCAGAGGACCGGCUCGGGGAUUGCCUUCCAGGGGGGUCACCUUCGAGAACCUUCCCUUCCCGCCUGCGCCCGUCGCUUUCUCUCCGCUUUGUGCGGCCUCGCCGCAGCCUGGUCCCGGGAAGUCUUGCUGCCUCUGCUGCUCGGCUCCUUUUUGCCUUUUCUUUUUUCUUUUCUUUUUUUUUUAGUUGUGAAUAAUAAUCACUAUUUUGGCCUCGCUACUUCCCAACAGAGAUUCUGGGGUCCUCGUGAGCUCCCCAGCCUCUCUCCUCCUCCUCCCCUCCCCCUCCUCCUCGCCUCCCUCCUCCUCUCCCUCCUGUUCCUCCGCUUCCUCCUCCUCCCUUCCCCUCUCCCCUUCCCCCUCCCUUCUCCUCCUCCUUCCCUCCCCCCUCCUCCUCUUCCUCCUCCUCCUCCCCCCCCCCACCAGGCUUUUUCAGUUUGAUGUUUUUAGGUAUCAAAGGAAGGUCUCCAGGAACCCUGCAACUCAAGACUUUAAUGAGGACCAUGCCCGAGAAAUCCCGGCUGCCAGAGACAUGAUGAUGAUUUAUGUCGCUCACUCACUCCCUAACAGCGAGAGGACUAUUUGUAAAAAUAAAAAAAGCUGCUCAU